rnacentral:misc_RNA from 1 species
AGGGCAACUGAGCACAGAGGG